CCUACGGGAGGCAGCAGUGGGGAAUAUUGCACAAUGGGGGAAACCCUGAUGCAGCGACGCCGCGUGAGUGAAGAAGUAUUUCGGUAUGUAAAGCUCUAUCAGCAGGGAAGAAGAAAGACGGUACCUGACUAAGAAGCACCGGCUAACUACGUGACAGCAGCCGCGGUGAUACGUAGGGGGCAAGCGUUAUCCGGAUUUACUGGGUGUAAAGGGAGCGUAGACGGCUGUGCAAGUCUGAAGUGAAAGCCCAGGGCUCAACCCUGGGACUGCUUUGGAAACUGUGGAGCUAUGGUGCGGGAAAGGUAAGUGGAAUCCCUGGGGUAGCGGUGAAAUGCGUGGUUAUUAGGAGGAACACCUGUGGCGAGGGCGGCUUACUGGACAGUAACUGACGUUGAGGCUCGAAGGCGUGGGGAGCAAACAGGAUUAGAUACCCGGGUAGU
rnacentral:rRNA from 1 species